GAUGAACGCUGGCGGCGUGCUUAACACAUGCAAGUCGAACGGUGAAAGCGGAGCUUGCUCUGCUGGAUCAGUGGCGAACGGGUGAGUAACACGUGAGCAACCUGCCCCGGACUCUGGGAUAACAGUUGGAAACAGCUGCUAAUACCGGAUACGAGCUGCGAAGGCAUCUUCAGCAGCUGGAAAGAACUUCGGUCUGGGAUGGGCUCGCGGCCUAUCAGCUUGUUGGUGAGGUAAUGGCUCACCAAGGCGUCGACGGGUAGCCGGCCUGAGAGGGUGACCGGCCACACUGGGACUGAGACACGGCCCAGACUCCUACGGGAGGCAGCAGUGGGGAAUAUUGCACAAUGGGCGCAAGCCUGAUGCAGCAACGCCGCGUGAGGGACGACGGCCUUCGGGUUGUAAAGUACUUUCAGCGGGGAGGAAGGCAGUAAACUUAAUACGUUCGCUGAUUGACGUUACCCGCAGAAGAAGCACCGGCUAACUCCGUGCCAGCCGCCGCAGUAACAC
rnacentral:rRNA from 1 species